rnacentral:lncRNA from 1 species
UGCGAGCCUGCGGCGCAGGUUCAGACGACAAAAAGGCGUCGACGGCACGAAGGCACAAAUCGAGGCGUCGUAGUGUAAUUACGACGCAUUUUUUGUGUCAAAAGUUUGGAGUUUUGGAGUUUGGUGGCCAAUUUAUGUGAAGUAAAAUUUGGUCCAUGCAGAAAGAAAGAUUGUCAGGCUUUCAGAGAGCGGACUCAAGUUGAAUUCAAAAUGGAAGACCCAUUGAAUAACUCUAUACAUCAGGAUCGGCUUUUGAAUUCAUUGGCAGCCUUGACGACUUUAUGCAUUUUCCUUGCCAUAAGUCCUGGUGUGUGUGAAUCAGCAUCUUUGGUCGCCUGUGGAGAUUUGCGAGAGAUGGAACUUUUCCUUUUCCUUAUGCUAGAGGCUGAUAACCAAGAAAUUUUUGACAUGGUUCUCCGCCUCACUGCUUAUCAAUUAUCAUUAUCCUGAAAAUAUCGUCUUGCCACAAGGAUAUACUCCUCCAAAUCUGGCAGUUAGCACACUUUACUGGAAGGCUUGGUUGAUGAUGAUUGCUCAUAAUCCUGGCAGUCUUGGGUCUGAGGCAUGGAAUUCAUUCCAUCCUACACUCCGAGCAUUGAUGGAGAUGUGUAUCACAAAUGAUUUCGCUACUUCUUCUGGUACCACAGACCAGACAGAGUUGCAGGUGGCUGCAAUUGAAAAGCAAACCAUCUUGGAAUUCGAAACACAUCUAGGAGCCGCCUCUACAAAAACUGUUAUUACCGAGAACAAUUCUUUGCUGCUAAGUCAAUUGACAUCACUUGAUCCACGAGGAUCUACGCGACGACCUCCUCCGGCUGUUAUUGAGCAGCUUCGAACUUUGAACGCAACACUUCGACUGGGUCACCUACUUUGUAGAAGUCGCCAACCAAACUUUUUAUUGUAAAUUCUGCAUAGGCAAGGAGCUGCGCAAACGAAGCCAUGGCUGGCUGAUUUGGUCGAGUCCAAUGAAGGUGCUUGGAACGUUCUGCCUGUUCAAUGUCUUUCUUGGCAAACGCAAGGAACGUCGUCACAAACACCAACAGUUGGUCCAGCAUCUAAGACUUUUGUUGACUGAUCCCAAUCAACUACCACCCGAAGCAUGCCGUGAAGUCCUAGACUAUUUGAUGAGACGAUUGAGUGCUCAGAAAGCUCUCGCCCGUCACCAAGCCCUCACGGCAUUGAGUGUGGUCUUGGCAGUAAAAACGAUGAUAUUACCAUGAGUGAUGGUGCAUGCUCCGAAGGAACAGGAGACGAUUCCCAGUUCUCUUGGCUUGUUCAUCAGUUACCUACCAUCCCACAUUUCGAAGCCGUACGCCCUGCCGUGAUUGCUGCUCUACGGGCCGCCUUUUUAAUUGAAACACAACCACUAGCCAUGUGUAUGCGUCAUCGUAAACAUCCGAUUCCGAUAUUUCCUUAUUUUUCAUAAUUUUUCCGUGCUUUCCCCUUUUUUCCCCAUUUUUAUCCAAAAUUUUCCAAUAUUUCCUAAUUUUCUUGGAGCAGGACGCAAGUCCUGACUAGUGACGUUUUUUUUAAUACGUAGCCAUCUAGCGCUCAGCUUGACAUACAUGAUUUUGUAGUUAGUA